AUUGAACGCUGGCGGAAUGCUUUACACAUGCAAGUCGAACGGCAGCACGGACUUCGGUCUGGUGGCGAGUGGCGAACGGGUGAGUAAUGUAUCGGAACGUGCCCAGUCGUGGGGGAUAACGUAGUGAAAAUUACGCUAAUACCGCAUACGAUAUAUGGAUGAAAGCGGGGGAUCGCAAGACACCGCGCGAUUGGAGCGGCCGAUAUCAGAUUAGGUAGUUGGUGGGGUAAAGGCCCACCAAGCCAACGAUCUGUAGCUGGUCUGAGAGGACGACCAGCCACACAGGAACUGAGACACGGUCCAGACUCCUACGGGAGGCAGCAGUGGGGAAUUUUGGACAAUGGGCGAAAGCCUGAUCCAGCCAUUCCGCGUGCAGGAUGAAGGCCCUCGGGUUGUAAACCGCUUUUGUACAGAACGAAAAGGUUUCUACUAAUACUAGGAGCUCAUGACGGUACUGUAAGAAUAAGCACCGGCUAACUACGUGCCAGCAGCCGCCGUAA
rnacentral:rRNA from 1 species